AACCGCAAAGGGCUCAGUAAACCAGUUUUAAUUUACUAGAGUUAACGUUUUGUACGUGGAUACCUGUGGUAAUUCUAGAGCUAAUACAUGCAAUAAAGUCCGGACCAGAAAUGGAAUGGACGCUUUUAUUAGAUCAAAACCAUUCGCCCAACUUGUUUGAGCGUUGUUUUGGUGAAUCUAGAUAACACAUAUGAUCGUACAGUCUUCGUACUGACGACGUCUCUUUCAAACGCCUGACUUAUCAGCUGUCGAUGGUAGACUCUGUGUCUACCAUGGCCCUCACGGGUAACGGGGAAUCAGGGUUCGAUUCCGGAGAGGGAGCCUGAGAAACGGCUACCACAUCCAAGGAAGGCAGCAGGCACGCAAAUUACCCACUCCCGGCACGGGGAGGUAGUGACAAAAAAUAACGAUACGGGACUCUAUUGAGGCCCCGUAAUCGGAAUGAGUACACUUUAAAUCCUUUAACAAGGAUCCAUUGGAGGGCAAGUCUGGUGCCAGCAGCCGCGGUAAUUCCAGCUCCAAUAGCGUAUAUUAAAGUUGUUGCGGUUAAAAAGCUCGUAGUUGGUUCUGCGUGCCGCGCUGUCGGUUCGCCGCCUGUCGGUGUAACUGGCAUGUCACGGCAUGUCCUGUCGGUGGUGAACGGAAUCCCCGGCGCUGGCUAGAGCUUCGGUUUUAGCUCGGUGUCGUGUGUGUUUUCGUUUACCGAUCUCUCCUACUCCGAUGCUCUUAAACGAGUGUCGAGGUAGGCCGACACGUUCACUUUGAACAAAUUAGAGUGCUUAAAGCAGGCUGAAAUAUCUGCCUGAAUAGUGGUGCAUGGAAUGAUAAAAUAGGACCUCGGUUCUAUUUUGUUGGUUUUAGGAAUAUGAGGUAAUGAUCAAUGUGGACUGGCGGGGGCAUUCGUAUUGCGACGUUAGAGGUGAAAUUCUUGGAUCGUCGCAAGACGCAUA
rnacentral:rRNA from 1 species